rnacentral:misc_RNA from 1 species
CAAAAAAAAAAGUGAAAUAAGUUUUUCAAUUUCAAAGCAAACUACGCAACAAUGAUACAAGAUGUCAUGUCCAAGUUCAUCUAAAUAACUAACUGCAGCAGACACACAUAUCAAAGCAAUUGAAAAUCAUCAAGAAUACAUCAACAACUUCCACCAUUGAAUCCCACAAAAAUCAUAUUUUCACAAACCUACUUCAUUUCCUCUCUAGGAAGAUUACUUGUGAUUCUCAUCCUUCUUAGAAUGAAUUGCUUCAACAAGGGCCUCAAUCUCUUCCUUCACUCGUUCAAAUACACCUGGUCCUCUGACUUCACCGGUAGGGGUAUUCUCAUCAAUGUCAUCACUUGUUCCAUGCGUUUCUUUAUGAUGGCGUGGAAUGUGAAUUAUUGACUCAAUCUCUUCCUUGGCUCUUUCAAAUAUAUUUGGAGAUUUCACAUCUUUUUCUUCAAUAUCAAAACCAAAGGAAAAAAAAAAAAACACUCAGGACUCGGUAUUUCUGCUUCCAAAGUUCAAUUUGAGGGAUUGCUUACAAACUACUAGAGUGGAUGUCACAUCAACAACAUGGUUUUAAAAUAUCCUCAUUUCUUCAGGGAAAUAAAAUGUAGCAUCUUUAAACAUAGAAUAUAUCACUCAUUCUGUACGACAUUAAAGAAACUUCCAUAGAGGGGCAAAAACCCAAAUCAAAUAUCCACCUUGAUGGGUGAAAAGGAUUAAACCUUUUAGUUGUGUUGAAUUUCAGUGCACAUGUCAAUGCUCGAGGAGAAGAAAUCUCCCUCUCCAAUUUUUUUUCUUUGUUGGAUGCAGCAACAGUAAAUGAAUCGACCCAGAUGAAGGAUUAUAGCAACUAAAGACAAGGUGUAUGAUCUAUGCAAAGCUCAUGAACAAAUUAACGAAAGAGAUUAAAAGCAAGAACUAAAUAAAAUAGCUAUCUUCAAGAGAAUCAACGCAAUAGCAACAAAUGAAUCAUCUAUCGUUAACAUGUUCAUUGAAACAUUUAGAUACCUGAUGGGGACCUUGUUGGGUCUGGUUUUGAUUCUGCCAUUGAAAUCUGCCUGCUAAAAACCUCUACUUGUUUUUUCUCUGUAUCGGAUUCAGGAUUUGAUUAAGCUAAUCCGCCAAUCAGCAUUCAGCAGCGCCUUUGUUGGAA